rnacentral:tRNA from 1 species
AACGAUGUAUUUUAUGAAGAAUAUUGGGUUUGCAGCUCAAAGGUGGAAAGUAUUCUCUUCGUUAA